rnacentral:rRNA from 1 species
AUGAUCCUCCGAGAUUGCGAUGGCGCAAUUAUCUACUCAUCCUGCAGGUUCCUCAGGUCCUGUGCAAGCCCACUUGAAGCGGAGGUGGCAGCGUGCAUGGAGGGCAUUGCUUUAACCCUGGACUGGAGUACAUCACCCUUCAUACUGGAAACAGAUAGCCUUGUUGCUGCCAAUAUGAUCAACGAGCCUGACCAGAAUAGAUCACCAGUAGCAGCGCUAAUUGGUGAGAUAAAAAGACUCCUUUCGCUUGGCCGUGAGCAUGUUGUACUGCAUGUGAGUAGGAGUAGAAAUAAAGUAAGCCAUACAUUAGCAUACCUGGGACACUCGAUCCCGCGUACUGCUGUUUGGCUUCGGAAUGGACCUGAUGAAAUUGGCAAUCUCUGCCAGCAGGAUUAA